rnacentral:rRNA from 1 species
CCUACGGGUGGCAGCAGUGAGGAAUAUUGGUCAAUGGACGCAAGUCUGAACCAGCCAUGCCGCGUGCAGGAAGACGGCUCUAUGAGUUGUAAACUGCUUUUGUACGAGGGUAAACGCAGCUACGUGUAUCUGUCUGCAAGUAUCGUACGAAUAAGGAUCGGCUAACUCCGUGCCAGCAGCCGCGGUAAUACGGAGGAUUCAAGCGUUAUCCGGAUUUAUUGGGUUUAAAGGGUGCGUAGGCGGUCGGUUAAGUCAGAGGUGAAAUCCCGAGGCUCAACUUCGUAAUUGCCUCUGAUACUGGUCGGCUAGAGAGUAGUUGCGGUAGGCGGAAUGUAUGGUGUAGCGGUGAAAUGCUUAGAGAUCAUACAGAACACCGAUUGCGAAGGCAGCUUACCAAGCUACAUCUGACGUUGAGGCACGAAAGCGUGGGGAGCAAACAGGAUUAGAUACCCUAGUAGUC